GGCGGACGGGUGAGUAAUGUCUGGGAAACUGCCUGAUGGAGGGGGAUAACUACUGGAAACGGUAGCUAAUACCGCAUAACGUCGCAAGACCAAAGAGGGGGACCCUCGGGCCUCUUGCCAUCGGAUGUGCCCAGAUGGGAUUAGCUUGUUGGUGGGGUAACGGCUCACCAAGGCGACGAUCCCUAGCUGGUCUGAGAGGAUGACCAGCCACACUGGAACUGAGACACGGUCCAGACUCCUACGGGAGGGCAGCAUG
rnacentral:rRNA from 1 species